AAAUUUGGACAUUGAUCAAUACAUGGAUCGAAUAGUUGUAUAGAGAAGUUAGAAUCGUUUCAUUUGGUGUGACAUCUAUUUGUUGUUGUUUUUUUUAAUGAUUAAUUAUUCAAACAUAUUAGUUGAUUCUAUAUGUAGCAAACACAAGGAAUAAUAAAAUUUGAUAACGUAUAUAAACCUGUUAAACAGGACAUUACAGCACGACCGACUUUAAAUUAAAAUAUAAAAAGAUCUUUGAUAAUUUAAUGAAGCUGCAAAACGGAACUUAACAAAUAUUAUAUAUUUAUGAAGUUUUCAAUUUGGAUGUGCCCAACGGAUUAAAUGAUUUUAACGAUAUCAGGGAAAUAUUAAGGAUGAAAAGAAUAUGUUUUUAUUAAACAAACUUUUAUUUAAACGAAAACAAACAUUUAAAGCGGACAAACGGCUUUAAACAAGCACUACAUCUGAUAGAAAACGAAGUAUGACGUAAGAGUCACACUAAGAAGAGUCGUCAUCUUCAGACUCCAAGAAUGGAGGUAGACGUGUUGAUGAAGGACAUUGCAGGACUGAAAACAAUUCCUCCGAAUUAGAAUACGAGAUUGACCUACCUACUCCAAAUCUGGUGUAUGGAGGUUCGUUCGUUGAGCAAGAUUAUGUCAGAGAACUACCUCUGCCAAACCUGCCGUACUGAACAUGGUGUACUAACGGAUAGGCGCACAAUCUAUUUAGCCAUCCAAACCUACAGUACCAUAUGGUCAUUACAGCAUGACCUAAUUACAUUUAUUAACAUAAACAUUCAUUAUUGCACAAAAGAUGUUAUUUUUGUAAAUUUGAUAUUUUAUUAAUUUAUUUAUUUUGUACUUAUUAUGUAUUUACAAACAUUUGACCCCAAUACGUUAGAAUAGCUAUCAUGUUUUCAAACUGGUGUUAAGUAUCAUGAUAUUCUUUGCCAGUAUAGUUAUCGAUGCAUAAUGCACAUUUUAUGGGAAAUAAGGUUGAUUAUCUAUUUUUGUUAAAGAACAAAGAAAUAUUUAAUUUAUUUUAUAUAAAAAAAAUGUUUGCUCUGGUUAGUUGUUUUGAGGUUGUGAAUGCUGUGCUCAAGUAUUUCUUGUCAUAAAAUUAUUUUAACAUGUCUUAGAACUAGAACUAUAUUUUAACUGGAAAUAUGAAAACAAAACCGGGUUUCUGUUUUCGUAUACAAACUAGGAUGUUCAAGGAUAAUUUGAAUAUGUAUUAGGACUAGUCAAAUUUAAGACAAAUGAGUCAUGAAAAAAAUGUUUCUGUAUCUUAACAACCGCUUGUCUUUUAUUUAUGGCAAGUGACCGAUUGCCUUCGCAAUACAGAUCAUUACAUUUAGCAAACAUUUACUAAAGCUGGGGUCUUGGCAUUGGAACAAUUAGUUCUGUUCUAAUGUCUCGAUUGCAAUAUAUUAUUUGUGUUCAUGUAUUCUUUUUUACAAAAAUUGCAUUUAUCUGGUUAAAUUUAUACAUUUUAACAAUGCAUAAUAUGUUUCGAUAGAUGUUUAGUGUGUGUGUUUUGUGAUUUUAGAAAGGAAAAGUGAGACAAUUACAUUGUAGUAUGAAAUAUGUACAUAUGGCGAACUUUACGCUUUUUACAAUAUAGCUCGUCAAUAUAUAUUUUUUAAUAGAAAUCAUCCUUAUUCAUAAGCUUGAUUAUAAUAAAGUCCUGUUAGUGAAUAUAAUGUAUUGUAGAUAUAUUUAAUAUCAAUUGUAUUUGUGGUCAUAAAUUCUGUUUAAAUUUCAUUUUUACAUGGGCAUAUUAUAAAUGUUUGAAUGAAAUGUUAGUGUGUAAAACUGUUUUAAAAAUAAAUAAAUAUGUUUUAAUUAUAGACACUUAAACUACACAGAACAAAAUUAAUGUUUUGAAAUGUAUUUCAAUAAAACUUAAAGCUUACAAUUGUGCUGCUUUUGUAACACCUUAACAGUUUUGCUUUUUGUUUAACAUUAUGUAUAAAUUUAAUUAUAAAUUUAUUAAUUACAAUUUUCAAGCGGCAUAUACUAGCAAUACUGAAUUUACGAAGAGGUAUGCGCAGUUCGUAUUCAGAGAAACAAUUUUUAUUUCAAAUUUGAAUUGAAAAAAAUACUGAUAAUUAUUGGAGAAACUAUACCUAACUUCACUUCGCACUAGCCUGACGAGCAACUACUUUUUAAAUUUUUAAUUUGCUUUGAAUUUGAAUGUAUUGUCGAAUGUAUUCUUGUUAAUUAUCAAAAAGAAGUGAAGACAAAUAACUAUAGAUUUAAAAAGUACCGUCGAUUCAAACAAAUACUAAUUAAAAGAAGAAGAGUAUAUUUGGAAACGUUUCAUCAUAUUAUUGGAACUGGUCGUCUUGAUGCAAACGUUAUUUUAAAAUUAAGAGUUUGUUUAAUUUUCAAAUGGAUGCUUAUCCGAUGCCAUUAUCAUGUUUUUCAGGCCACCGAAUAAAAAUCGAAGACAACAAUAAAUACAUCCUAUAAUUAAUCUUAUUCAGAAGACUCUGCCAUCUGACAUCCUUUUACAUUAAAGGGAGCAUAUUGCAAUUGUUCCAUUGUGUCUUCACACUUUGAACGUGCAUCUUUAUUCUUAACGCGUUUUCUAUGCCUAUAACGCAGUGUUAAUGUUAAGGGUGAAUACUACUAAAUCAAAUUGCAUAUGAAAUCCACGGGUAUUGUUUAUAAUCAAAUAUAGCGCUUGACUGUUGGUUUACUUCAUGUAGAUUUCUUGUAUAACGUUUAUUUUUAUUUAUUUUACUUUUACUAAUAACUAAUAACUUAUUUCUUCGCACUAACGAACUUUGUCAGGAUGAACUUUUAAAUAUUAUCAGAAUAUAUAUUUUAUUGAGCGUGUAUAAUAACGAAAUAUAUGUGCUAAGCACUCAUUUAAUUAAUACUCAUUUAAAGAAACAUGCUAUUUUAUAUUAUUCAUUCCGUUGAUAUGCCAAUUUUAAUGACAUAUUUGUUUUUAAAAUGGAAUGUGUUAUCUUAAAAAAUAUGUCCAGUAUAUUUUAAGGAAGCAACACUUAUUCAAGAUGUACAAGGUCCGAAUGUUCUGAAGUUCGCUAUUAUACAUAUAACUGAUGGUGAAAUGCAGUCUUAAUACAGUUUGUCCACACUAUUAAUUAUUUAUCGGAUGGUUUUUAAGUAAUUCACCACAAUUGCACAAUGUUAAUUCAGCGAUUCGUGCGGAACAGUUGUUUAAAGUCAAGGUCACACUUCGAAUGCAAGUGCCAAAUGAUUUUCACAAAAGUUUGUAAUUUAGAAUAGCUUGAACGAAAUGAACACGGUUUUGAGCGUGUGAUUCACUACACGGAAGGCAAAUAUAAUACUUAUACUACUUAUGUAACAUCUAUGCGCAUAUGUAUAUACGUAUAACAAACUGUUAAGUCAGUAAGCAGAUGUGCACCAACCAGUGUUUCAACCUAAGACUGAAUAUUUAAAGACUACCACCCUAGCCGCAACAAAUGCCACUGAUGGACUCAGUGAUUUAUGUAAAUACUAUUUGUUUAUGAGAAUGCAACACAAACUGAUUUACUUAUUUGUUUAGUGUAAUUUAUAUAACUGUGAAAUAACUUAAAGGUACUGCUUGAAAGCUACAUGCACAUACGGAUAAAUACAACACAUUAUCUUCAUACAAACACAAGUAAUUCAGCAGAAACACAGUUUUGGUAUUUUACUACAUGAUUUGACAGUGAUACGACAUGACCCAAAUUCAAUAACAAGCUUGCUCCGCGUUUAAGAUACAAACGCACACGAUUCAGCUAAAUAUCCUAGUAAAACGGAUGUUAUUCAACGUACUUUUUCUAUUAUCAGUAACGGUGAUCUUGACCCUGACCCGACGGGCCUAAAAUGCAUCCCGACGUAAGGGCUUGCGUAUGGAAUAUCAGCAUAUUGUUUAUUCAAGUUCUUGAACUUAAACCGUUUUAUUACUUCUUAUAAUAAUUACCUUGAUAUUUAACGACCGGAUUGCCAAUGCAAUUCACACCUAGGUCUGCAUGUAAAAUACGUAUACCCGGAGUGUAAGUCAACAACCAACAUCCCAACUCACGUAAUUGACCAGAUAUACAUUUUGUAUGAUUAUCUAUAUUGACAUUGACGUCGAUGCUGGACUAUUUUGGUGUAAGCUACACUCAUACACCCAAAUACCUCCAUUAAACUCAAGUUUUUCAGCCGAGACAUUUAUUCUAUUUAUUGAUGGUAAACUUUACCUUGACCUAACAUGCCUCAAAGAAAACCCAAGCUUAAAUAUUCAAAUUAUAAUAACAUACGAUAGUACAAGGUACAAAGCAUAAUAAUGAUUUGAAAAGGUAUUAUGAUCGAAUUCGUAAAUGGACAGUUUAUAUAACGUUGAGUUAACGUAUAUGCUAUAUAUUUCCAGAAAUCUACAAUACAUGGAAAAUGUCCAGAUGGAAAACAUUUAAUUUCAAUAAACAGUGUACUAUUAUGGUAGCCAUAAAAUGCUUUUUAUAUUUUAUAUGUUUAUUUUUUUAUGAUAAAAGAUGCAUUAAGUGAAUAUUUUCUGUAUUUUGUUAAGUUAUGUAUAAUACAUAAUAUUGAUUUGUAUCUGUACAAUAAUUCCUGCCAUAAUAAAAUAUUGGAGAUGCAAGAAAUAAUGUGUAACAUAUUAUCUUUCACUUUCGCGAUACAUUUUACUAUGUUUAGCUCAAUAAAUUCGUAGAAAAUA